AUACCUUUCUCGGCCUUUUGGCUAAGAUCAAGUGUAGUAUCUGUUCUUAUCAGUUUAAUAUCUGAUAUGUGAACUAUAGGUUCACACGAUAUUAAAUUAAUUUUUGUGGGAGAGGGUCUGUAAUAGUGGCUUGCCACUGAGACUCUCAAGCAUCGUCCUUGCUUUGCACUGCUGCAAGGUCUUGGUGCAUCCCUU